GCCAUGAUAGUUUAGGGGUAGAAUUGAAGCUUCCCAUUGCAAUGCAUGGAUAUGCUUCAGGCGCGAGUUCGAGUCUCGCUCAUGGCA
rnacentral:tRNA from 1 species